rnacentral:rRNA from 1 species
AUUGAACGCUGGCGGCAUGCUUUACACAUGCAAGUCGAACGGUAACAGGCCGCAAGGUGCUGACGAGUGGCGAACGGGUGAGUAAUGCAUCGGAACGUGCCCAGUCGUAGGGGAUAACGCAGCGAAAGCUGUGCUAAUACCGCAUACGAUCUGUGGAUGAAAGCGGGGGACCGUAAGGCCUCGCGCGAUUGGAGCGGCCGAUAUCAGAUUAGGUAGUUGGUGGGGUAAAGGCUCACCAAGCCAACGAUCUGUAGCUGGUCUGAGAGGACGACCAGCCACACUGGGCCUGGGACACGGCCCAGACUCCUACGGGAGGCAGCAGUGGGGAAUUUUGGACAAUGGACGCAAGUCUGAUCCAGCCAUGCCGCGUGCGGGAAGAAGGCCUUCGGGUUGUAAACCGCUUUUGUCAGGGAAGAAACGCUCUGGGCUAAUACCCCGGGGUAAUGACGGUACCUGAAGAAUAAGCACCGGCUAACUACGUGCCAGCAGCCGCCGUAACAC